rnacentral:rRNA from 1 species
AUAGGGUCAAGCAAUGAAGCGCACACGGUGGAUGCCUAGGCAGCCAGAGGCGAUGAAAGACGUGGAAGCCUGCGAUAAGGCUCGGCGAGGUGGCAAACAACCUGUGACCCGGGCAUUUCUGAAUGGGGAAACCCACCGAUCACAAGAUCGGUAUCCUGUCCUGAAUCUAUAGGGCCAGGAGGCGAACCAGGGGAACUGAAACAUCUAAGUACCCUGAGGAAAAGAAAUCAACCGAGAUUCCCCCAGUAGCGGCGAGCGAACGGGGACCAGCCCUUAAGCAUGUGACUGAUUAGGCGAAUGCGUUGGGAAGCGCGGCCGUAGCGGGUGAUAGCCCCGUAGUCGAAAAUCUGAUCAUGUGAAAUCGAGUAGGUCGGGGCACGAGAAACCUUGACUGAAGACGGGGGGACCAUCCUCCAAGGCUAAAUACUCCUGGCUGACCGAUAGUGAACCAGUACCGUGAGGGAAAGGCGAAAAGAACCCCGGAGAGGGGAGUGAAAUAGAUCCUGAAACCGUGUGCGUACAAGCAGUAGGAGCCCCAUCACUAAGCUUCUUCGUGAUGUGAACCCACCCAAACAAGCAGAGGUGGCUUAGUGAUGGGGUGACUGCGUACCUUUUGUAUAAUGGGUCAGCGACUUAUAUUCAGUGGCGAGGUUAACCGUAUAGGGGAGCCGUAGGGAAACCGAGUCUUAACUGGGCGACACAGUCGCUGGAUAUAGACCCGAAACCGAGCGAUCUAUCCAUGAGCAGGGUGAAGAUUGAGUAACAUCAAUUGGAGGCCCGAACCAGGAUCUGUUGAAAAAGAUUUGGAUGACUUGUGGAUCGGAGUGAAAGGCUAAUCAAGCUCGGAGAUAGCUGGUUCUCCUCGAAAGCUAUUUAGGUAGCGCCUCACGUAUCACCGCCGGGGGUAGAGCACUGUUUCGGCUAGGGGGUCAUCCCGACUUACCAACCCGAGGCAAACUCCGAAUACCGGUGAGUGCGAGCGUGGGAGACACACAGCGGGUGCUAACGUCCGUUGUGAAAAGGGAAACAACCCAGACCGUCAGCUAAGGUCCCGAAAUCCUGGUUAAGUGGGAAACGAUGUGGGAAGGCUCAGACAGCUAGGAGGUUGGCUUAGAAGCAGCCAUCCUUUAAAGAAAGCGUAAUAGCUCACUAGUCGAGUCGGCCUGCGCGGAAGAUGUAACGGGGCUAAACCAGGUACCGAAGCUACGGGUGCGUUCUUAGGAAUGCGCGGUAGAGGAGCGUCGUGUACGCCGAUGAAGGUGGAUUGAGAAGUCUGCUGGAGGUAUCACGAGUGCGAAUGCUGACAUGAGUAACGAUAAAGGGAGUGAAAAACUCCCUCGCCGGAAGACCAAGGGUUUCUGUUCGACGCUAAUCGGAGCAGAGUGAGUCGGCCCCUAAGGCGAGGCCGAAAGGCGUAGUCGAUGGGAAACGGGUCAAUAUUCCCGUACCGGACAUGGUUGCGAUGGGGGGACGAAGAAGGCUAGAUGAGCCAGGCGUUGGUAGUCCUGGUGAAAGUCCGUAGGCUGAGGGUUUAGGUAAAUCCGGACCCUUAAGGCCGAGAGACGAGACGAAGACACUAAGGUGUUGAAGUCAUCGAUGCCACGCUUCCAGGAAAAGCCUCUAAGCUUCAGAUCAUGUGCGACCGUACCCCAAACCGACACAGGUGGUCAGGGUGAGAAUCCCAAGGCGCUUGAGAGAACUCGGGUGAAGGAACUAGGCAAAAUGGUGCCGUAACUUCGGGAGAAGGCACGCCGGCGUAUUGUGAGAGCCCUCGCGGCUUAAGCGAGAACCGGUCGAAGAUACCAGGUGGCUGCAACUGUUUAUUAAAAACACAGCACUCUGCUAACGCGCAAGCGGACGUAUAGGGUGUGACGCCUGCCCGGUGCCGGAAGGUUAAAUGAUGGUGUUAGGAUUCGUCCGAAGCUCUUGAUUGAAGCCCCGGUAAACGGCGGCCGUAACUAUAACGGUCCUAAGGUAGCGAAAUUCCUUGUCGGGUAAGUUCCGACCUGCACGAAUGGCGUAAUGAUGGCCACGCUGUCUCCACCCGAGACUCAGUGAAAUUGAAAUCGCCGUGAAGAUGCGGUGUACCCGCGGCUAGACGGAAAGACCCCGUGAACCUUUACUAUAGCUUCACACUGGACGCUGAUGUUGCCUGUGUAGGAUAGCUGGGAGGCUUUGAACUUUGGACGCCAGUUCGAAGGGAGCCAACCUUGAAAUACCAGCCUGGCAUCAUUGGCGUUCUCACUCAGGUCCGUUAUCCGGAUCGAGGACAGUGUGUGGUGGGUAGUUUGACUGGGGCGGUCUCCUCCCAAAGCGUAACGGAGGAGCACGAAGGUACCCUCAGCACGGUCGGACAUCGUGCAAUGAGUGCAAGAGCAUAAGGGUGCUUGACUGCGAGACAGACACGUCGAGCAGGUGCGAAAGCAGGUUCUAGUGAUCCGGUGGUUCUGUAUGGAAGGGCCAUCGCUCAACGGAUAAAAGGUACUCCGGGGAUAACAGGCUGAUACCGCCCAAGAGUUCACAUCGACGGCGGUGUUUGGCACCUCGAUGUCGGCUCAUCACAUCCUGGGGCUGAAGUCGGUCCCAAGGGUAUGGCUGUUCGCCAUUUAAAGUGGUACGCGAGCUGGGUUUAGAACGUCGUGAGACAGUUCGGUCCCUAUCUGCCGUGGGCGUUGGAUGUUUGAGAAGGGCUGCUCCUAGUACGAGAGGACCGGAGUGGACGCACCUCUGGUGUUCCGGUUGUCACGCCAGUGGCAUUGCCGGGUAGCUAUGUGCGGACGGGAUAACCGCUGAAAGCAUCUAAGCGGGAAGCCCCCUUCAAGAUGAGACAUCCCUGAGGCCACGAGCCUCCUGAAGGGCCCAGCGAGACCAGCUGGUUGAUAGGCACGGUGUGGAAGCGCUGCAAGGUGUUGAGCUAACGUGUACUAAUGGCCCGUGAGGCUUGACCCU